UACGUAGGGAGCGAGCGUUGUCCGGAUUUACUGGGUGUAAAGGGUGCGUAGGCGGCCCUGCAAGUCAGAAGUGAAAUCCAAUGGGCUUAACCCGUGAACUGCUUUUGAAACUGGCAGGACUUGAGUGGAGUAGAGGUAGGCGGAAUUCCCGGUGUAGCGGUGAAAUGCGUAGAGAUCGGGAGGAACACCAGUGGCGAAGGCGGCUUACUGGACUGUAACUGACGUGAGGCUCGAAAGCGUGGGGAGCAAACAGGG
rnacentral:rRNA from 1 species